rnacentral:rRNA from 1 species
GACGAACGCUGGCGGCGUGCUUAACACAUGCAAGUCGAGCGGAGCGGCGAAGGGGUAAGUAACGCUUGAGUAACUGCCCCCCUCUCGGGGAUACCAGUUGGAAACGGCUACUAAUACCGGAAAGUGGGGGAUGACUCGCGUCCUCUUGGCGUGUUGGUGGGGUGGUGGCCUACCAAGGCGACGACGGGUAGCCGGCCUGCGAGGGCGACCGGCCACAUUGGGCUGAGAUACGGCCCAAACUCCUACGGGAGGAAGCAGUGGGGAAUAUUGCACAAUGGGGGAAACCCUGAUGCAGCAACGCCGCGUGCGGGAUGACGGCCUUCGGGUUGUAAACCGCUUUCAGCCAUGACGCGGUAGUGGCAGAAGAAGCACCGGCUAACUACGUGCCAGCAGCCGCGGUAAUUC